GGCCCUCGGCAGUGGGACUGUGGAGCCCUAACCCCUGGACCGCCAAGGAGUUCCCCAAAGUGGAAGUUUGAAUGGGUUGGUCAGUAACGGAAGGCCCCACUGAGAUGACAGUUGAGCAGAGGCCUCCGGGAGGUGAGGAAGCUGGGCGGUGGAAAGAGGAGCAGUGGAGCCUCCCUGGUGGACCUGGCGACUGGGGACGACACACUCCCCUUUCUUCCGUCUGAGGUGGUGGGCCGAGGACUCUUAUAUGAGGGUAGGUGUCUUGAGAAUCAUGGCAGUAUCUUCUUCCUAGGCUGUGUGAAGUGUGAUUUCUGUUUUUAGUUCAUUUGUAAUAGUUCACAAGAUGACUAGGCCCAAAUCUGACUUUAAAACUCUGAGAUGAAUGGAGAAUGUGAAUUUGUGAUUGGAGCCUCCUGACUUUUGUGACUCUCUGGCCCUGUUUGGAGAACUUUGUGUUGACAACACCUCAUGAAUUACCUUUGCAGAAGAAGUCAAACUGGUGGUUAGCUCACUUUACACUAGGAUGUGGGAAUACAGUGGAUUUUAACCAUUCGACCUAAUCACUUCAGCGGAUCCUGUGAACAUUUAAUCUCCACCAAGCAGGCCCAAUUAGUGUAUCGAUGUUUUAGAGACUGGUUAUCUUCCGUCCUGCUUCAGGAAAAAUGAAACUGCGCACGGGAUAAACAUAAUUCCUUUCCUCUUAAGUUUCUUUUAUUCUUAAUCUUAAGAUUGCUAAUGCCUUUUGAUAUUACAGAGAAACUCAUAAUUUUUCCAAGAGACGGUAAAAAGAAAAAAGAAAUAGGUCUAAACAGGAAAAAACCUAAAGGUUCCAUCCACCCAAGAGAAACACAUGUGACCAUGUUGAGAAACUUCAUGAGACAGAUGCAAUGUCAAGCACACACAUGCAUACACAGGCGACCACUGCUCCAUGCCUGUAUGGAAUUUAUGCCCACGCACAAAUUGCUGAUUGACUUGGAGACAUGAUAUUUAUGAACUUGGCUGAAAUGUCAAAUUUGACAUUCACUGUGUGAAGCGUAAUAUAGUCAAUGCCCUUCACUGCACUGUAGUAUUUACCUGGUAAUGCUCUCUACUUCUCUUCCUUAGCGAGAAGAUAAGGACAGCAAGAACCUGUUUAAUCCUAAUCCUCUUUACUUCAUUCACACAGGCCAGCUGAGUUGAACACUCAACACAAGUUCUUUAAAAACACAGGCAGUGCAGCAACUCUGUAAGAGUUCCUUUAUCUCAGCUACAGUGGACUUCAUUGCCUUGUGGGGUAGCAAUACCAACUGCAGCAAGUCAUUUGUAUGGCAUUAUCCUUCCAGAAUUUUGUUGCUAUUUUUUAUUGUUAGUGCAGAGAUCCUAAAAGAAAGUCAUUUUAAUAAAACAUCCUCCUUCUUUGAUGGAUUGGUGAAUUUUAUUCUAGCUACUUUUGGCUUUUCGGCUUUGUGUCUGUAAUUUCUGAGGUUUCACAAAUUUGUGUUUUAUCAGUCUGUACAGCAUCAACCUAGGCUUUUGAAUUUCAUUGUAAAUAUGUACAUUCUAAGUGAUUCUUCAUUAGUUCUUAGUGAACAUCUUUUAUCCUUGACCACCUAAGAAGGGAGAAAAAAAUAUCUGGGCAGAAUUUUUCUUUCAUAAAAAUAGGACACAUACCUCAUCCUUCUCUAAUAUAGAGCAUUCCUAGUUUUAGAACCUGCUUUAGGAAAAGGAAGCCUGUUGAACCAGUGUGAUUUGUUUUAAGUGAAAGGCUGAUUCAUGUUGCAUAUACUAUAUAUGUUCUAUAUGCUGUUAGUUCACAAUUAUUAUUUACAACAAAGGUUGAUAAACUAUAGCCUGUGGUCUGUUUUUGUAUUGUCUAAGAGCUAAGAAAUUUUUAUAUUUUUAAAGGUUGUUUAAAAAAAACAGUAUGUGACAGAGACAGUGUGGAGCCUAUAAAGCCCUUUGCAGAUAAAAACUUGCAGACCCUUGAUUUAUGGCAUAGUUUCCAUUUCUAUAGUCUGAAUAUAUUAAAUGUCACUAAGUAUUAUUUUUUAAAGGACCAGUGAACUUAAGUAGAACUGAAAUAAAAUAAUGAUAACUGGUUUGAAGAGAAUCAAUGAAAAAAUUAAAUUGAAUAAUAUGAAUUUGUGAAGAAGUAGUGAAAUGAUUAUGCAGUUUGGUGGGUCUGUUUUGGGGGCAACCAUGAAGAAAGGAAGAUUACAUGUAGCAACUUGUUUAUCUUGCUUAUCUUGCCACAGUUUUUACAAUUUCUUUACUAACUCAAUGCCUUUGUCAAUAAAUCUGACUUUAAUAAAACUGUAUAGUGAUAGACUCACUUUAUUAGAAGCAUUUUGCUUUUUCCUGCCCAUUAGACUUUAUGUCAUACUUGAGGCCAGUUUCUUACUUACAAUGUCUGUAUCCUGGGGUGAUGGGGUGAGGACUUCUCCAACUUGAGCUGGGUCUGGCACUCAGCUGCAGCUCCUGCUGUCUGGAAGAAUUUCCAGGAGCUACGGAAGUGGUCCAGAGUUGGAGUCAUCCUGUGUCCCUGGGUUUUGGAAGGGCCCUGCAGCCCUGGGUUUUCAUCUCCUCUGGAGCUGUGCCCCCCACAUCCUGGAGAGAGGGCCGGAGAAGAAUUGUGGACAGACUUUGGGCAAGGUGAGGCUCAUUUUCUCAGCCUUCCAAACCAGGGCUUUUAGCUUCCUAUUCUCUUUUUAGUCAAAAAUGUGUUUCUAAGAGUUAUCUGGCUAUUUCUUAUUUAUUGGUAAGGUAAAGCCUGAAAUCAGGAAGUUAACCAGGGCAGCCGUGUGUUUUUUUAAUCUGGCAUUAGUCUUCUUAAGCAAUACAAAGGGCUCCAACCAGCCAAACUGUAUUCUAGUGAUGAGAGUUAAAAGUCAAUUUUUUACUUAUUUAUUUUUGCUGUGCUGUGCGGCUUAUGGGAUUUUAUUAUAGUUCCCCGACCAGGGAUCGAACCUGGUGCCCUGGCAGUGAGAGUAUCAAGUCCUAACCACUGGACCACCAGAGAAUUCCCAAAAGUCAAUUAUUUUAGCUAGACUCACUUAACUCCUCUUUCUUGUAAGCAAAGGCCCAGAAAACCCCAUGCUUGAGCACCAUUUGUGUAUUAGUAGGCGUUUUAUAUUACUUUAUAUUUGUAAUGCUUUAUGUUUUCAAAGUGCUUUUACAUAUAUUAUCUCAUUUGAUCCUCUUAAUCACCAGGUGAGGUAGGAGGAGAAGCAGUUUUCUUAUAAUAUUACAAAUGAGAAAACUGAGAAACAAAUCAGUUUCUGGGAAUAGAUCAUUGGGAAGUUGAACGGCUUAAUGAAAAGGACAUUUGAAAGACUUGGUUUAAGUCCUGACUUCCAUGUUUCCUCUGCCACUGUCCUGCCAUGACAAUACUGAGGCUUUAUUUCUGAGAUACUGAACAUUUCUGAAAAUGUUGGCAUAGCUAAGUGGGCUUUUAUAGGAGCUUUCACCUUAUUUUAAGUGCAAAUGGAAAGGGUCAUGAUUUUAGGUGUUGUGUAUAGAAUGGAUUUUUAUGGAGCUGUGAAGGGAGACAGGGUAGCCGAUGAGGAGACUAUUGCAGUGGUCCAGGCAAGAGGUGAUGGUGGCUUGGACUUGAGUGGUGUAGUGGAAGUGGGGAGAGGUGGUGGAAUUGAGAUAUACAGUAUCUUGGAAGAGGAAUCUUAUCAGACUUGUCGAUGCCUUGGAUGUGGAAUGCUGGGGUAGAGGAAAGGCAGAGAGUAAAAUGAUUCCCACCUGACUUGAGCAAUGGUGUGACACCUACCAAGCUGAGGAAGCCUGGGAACAGCUUUUGGAAGGAGGAGUAACAAGAGCCCUGGUAGGAUUGAUUGGCUUUUUUAGGCAUUCAAGUGGUGAUGUAGGUGAAGAUGGACAUGUAUGUGUUGUGCUCGGAGGAGAGGUCUAGAAGGGAGUUAAACAAUUGGGAAUAAUCCACAUAUAUUUGAUAAGUAGAGUCAUGGAAUAGAAAAGAACACUUAGCGAAAAAGUCCUGGGACUAAGCUCUAGGAGUCUCAGUAUAUUUCUUUCUUUCUUUUUUUUUUUU